rnacentral:pre_miRNA from 1 species
AUGUCGCAUGUGAGAAUUAGAGGAACCUAAAUAGACUGAUUUUGUUUUUGCUACGUUUCUAUUUAGUUUCCUCUAAUAUCUCACGUUCGACCU